rnacentral:rRNA from 1 species
AUUGAACGCUGGCGGCAUGCUUUACACAUGCAAGUCGAACGGUAACAGGCCUUCGGGUGCUGACGAGUGGUGGCCGGGGGCGUAAUGCUUCGGCAUGUGUCCCGUGGUGGUGGAUAAGGCAGCGAAUGCUGUGCUAAUACCGCAUGUGGUCUGAGGAUGAAAGCGGGGGAGUAGGCUGCAAUGUUUGGCCUCGCGUCUCUCGAGUGGCUGAUGUCGCAUUAGGUAGUUGGUUGGGUAAAGGCCUACCAAGCCAACGAUCGGUAGCCGGUCUGAGAGGACGACCAGCCACACUGGAACUGAGACACGGCCCAGACUCCUACGGGAGGCAGCAGUGGGGAAUUUUGCACAAUGGGCGCAAGCCUGAUCCAGCAAUGCCGCGUGCGGGAAGAAGGCCUUCGGGUUGUAAACCGCUUUUGUACGGAACGAAAAAACUCGGGCUAAUACCUGGGGCUCUUGACGGUACCGUAAGAAAAAGCACCGGCUAACUACGUG